GAUGAACGCUGGCGGCGUGCCUAAUACAUGCAAGUCGAGCGAACAGACGAGGAGCUUGCUCCUCUGACGUUAGCGGCGGACGGGUGAGUAACACGUGGAUAACCUACCUAUAAGACUGGGAUAACUUCGGGAAACCGGGGCUAAUACCGGAUAAUAUAUUGAACCGCAUGGUUCAAUAGUUAAAGACGGUUUUGCUGUCACUUAUAGAUGGAUCCGCGCCGCAUUAGCUAGUUGGUAAGGUAACGGCUUACCAAGGCAACGAUGCGUAGCCGACCUGAGAGGGUGAUCGGCCACACUGGAACUGAGACACGGUCCAGACUCCUACGGGAGGCAGCAGUAGGGAAUCUUCCGCAAUGGGCGAAAGCCUGACGGAGCAACGCCGCGUGAGUGAUGAAGGUCUUCGGAUCGUAAAACUCUGUUAUUAGGGAAGAACAAAUGUGUAAGUAACUAUGCACGUCUUGACGGUACCUAAUCAGAAAGCCACGGCUAACUACGUG
rnacentral:rRNA from 1 species